rfam:Takifugu rubripes chromosome, Chr_15
ACAAAGGCCCUUUUAAGGGCCAACCAUGUGUUCCUGAAAGAGCAA